rnacentral:lncRNA from 1 species
ACACUCAACACACACACUCUCAACACACUGGAACACAGACACACACACUCUCAACACACUGGAACACAGACACACACACUCUCUCAACACACUGGAACACAGACACACACACUCUCAACACACUGGAACACAGACACACACACUGUCUUCUCACACUCAACACACUGGAACACAGACACACACACACUCUCUCAACACACUGGAACACAGACACACACACUCUCAACACACUGGAACACAGACACACACACUCUCAACACACUGGAACACAGACACACACACUCUCUCAACACACUAGAACACAGACACACACACUCUCAACACACUGGAACACAGACACACACUCUCAACACACUGGAACACAGACACACACACUGUCUUCUCACACUCAACACACUGGAACACAGACACACACACACUCUCUCAACACACUGGAACACAGACACACACACUCUCAACACACUGGAACACAGACACACACACUCUCUGAACACACUGGAACACAGACACACACACUCUCUCAACACACUAGAACACAGACACACACACUCUCUGAACACACUCAACACACUGGAACAGUCUCACACACACACACACACACACACACACACACACACACACAUACAAACUCUGCACACUGGAACAGAGACACACACACACUCAACAUGCUAGAAGAACAGAUCGCUAACAAUCAACACACUGAAACAGAGACACACACACACAUACACUCAAAACACAAGAACAGAGACACACACAGCACACUGAAACAGAGACACACACACAUAUACACUCAAAACACAAGAACAGAGAGACACACACACAUAUACACUCAAAACACAAGAACAGAGACACACACACACAUACACUCAAAACACAAGAACAGAGACACACACACAUAUACACUCAAAACACAAGAACAGAGACACACACACACUAAACACAUGAGAAAGGACAAACACACUCACAGUGGAACACAGACACACACUUAAUGCACUGAAAUACACAAACACGUACACACACACACACACACACACACACACACACACACACUGAAACAGAGAGCGGUGUGGUGUGGGCCAGUUGGUUGCCUGCGUGCCUGUCAGAA